rnacentral:lncRNA from 1 species
GGAGAGGAUAAUGAAAAAGUCUCCAAGAUCUCUGGGUUUUUGAGAAGAUAGCAAAUUUCUUGCUCAAACCUUAAAUUUUACAACUGCAAAACAUAUCACCAUCUUAAUAAUUGACUUCUUAGUUGUUUCAGAAUAUGGGUAAUGGAGAAUUAUAAGGAGAAACUGCAUAUCAAUGAGGAAGCAUUAGAUCAGAACCUUUCUAUGUGAGUCGAAUAACAGAAACUUCAAGAUUAUUAUGAGAUGAUGGAGACUUUGUAUUUAUGCCAUGAUUUUCCACAGUGAAACCUUGGGAAAUCACUGGGAACCUUGUUUUCCUCCAUUCAAGCUGAGAGUUAUGGAUUUUGAGUCUAAACUUAUUUUGUAGGGUCUGACUUCUGAUAUGCAGUUUCUUUCCUUGGGUUUGAUUUUUGAUAGUAAACAUAGAAUACUUCUUAAAUAUCCCAGACAGUUUGAUUAUAAAUGUGAACUGUUACACUUUGCUAAAAAGUAUUUGCAAUUCUCUAUAUUAUAUUAGUUGAAAAACAAAUUUGUUCUAUCUUUGACUGUUUAUCUAGUCCUUUCCCCUAGCCACCCAGCUAACUACCAAUACAAUGACUCACCAUUCAUUCAUAAUCUUAUGGGUCAGAUACAAGAAUCGUGUAUUGCACAUUUAGGGAUAUUUAGUAAUCUACUUUGACUUUUUUCUAGGAAAACGAGCUUGUGUUGGAGAGGGCCUGGCCCGCAUGCAGUUGUUUCUAUUCUUGACAACCAUUUUACAGAACUUUAACCUGAAAUCUCUGGUUCACCCAAAGGACAUUGAUACGAUGCCAGUUCUGAAUGGUUUUGCCUCUCUGCCACCCACUUACCAGCUCUGCUUCAUUCCUUCCUGAAUAGAUCAGGCAUUUUGGCUUCUACUGUGUUGCCUUCUGCAAUCCCCUUCAGGUUUUUAUCCAGUCCCUUCCCUCUAUCAUCCAUCCUGACUCUUGUCUUAAGAUCCAGAAAGCACAUGCAGUUUCUGGAGUUAUAGCACAAAUCCACUUGUAUUAUCUCUUUCAUAUAACAAUUUAUGAUCCCUUGUGUCAUUGUGUAUCCAUUCCUGAGUUAAAAUAAAGCUUCACUAUAAAAU